rnacentral:tRNA from 1 species
GCCUGAGUGGCUCAGUGGGUUAAGCGGCCGACUUCUGCUCAGGUCACGAGCUCGCAGUUCGUGGGUUCGAGCCCUGUCUUGGGCC